rnacentral:rRNA from 1 species
GGGUGGGCGGGCGUGCUAUACAUGCAGUCGAGCGAACAGAUAAGGAGCUUGCUCCUUUGACGUUAGCGGCGGACGGGUGAGUAACACGUGGGUAACCUACCUAUAAGACUGGGAUAACUUCGGGAAACCGGAGCUAAUACCGGAUAACAUUUGGAACCGCAUGGUUCUAAAGUGAAAGAUGGUUUUGCUAUCACUUAUAGAUGGACCCGCGCCGUAUUAGCUAGUUGGUAAGGUAACGGCUUACCAAGGCGACGAUACGUAGCCGACCUGAGAGGGUGAUCGGCCACACUGGAACUGAGACACGGUCCAGACUCCUACGGGAGGCAGCAGUAGGGAAUCUUCCGCAAUGGGCGAAAGCCUGACGGAGCAACGCCGCGUGAGUGAUGAAGGGUUUCGGCUCGUAAAACUCUGUUAUUAGGGAAGAACAAAUGUGUAAGUAACUGUGCACGUCUUGACGGUACCUAAUCAGAAAGCCACGGCUAACUACGUGCCAGCAGCCGCGGUAAUACGUAGGUGGCAAGCGUUAUCCGGAAUUAUUGGGCGUAAAGCGCGCGUAGGCGGUUUCUUAAGUCUGAUGUGAAAGCCCACGGCUCAACCGUGGAGGGUCAUUGGAAACUGGGAAACUUGAGUGCAGAAGAGGAAAGUGGAAUUCCAUGUGUAGCGGUGAAAUGCGCAGAGAU